CUUUCUCCAAAAUUGUAUAUCAAUAUUUAUCAUAAGGAUAUUUCUGUCCUUAUAAAAACCAAACAAUAUAUUCAGUAUACUCUUUUGACACUCACAUUUUUCUCAAUUUUCAAUUGCUUCUCAUAAUCUAACACACUUGUAACAAACUACAGAGGAAAUUAAAGAAGUGACAUAGCUCUCUUUAAUAAAAGAAAAAAAGACAUUAACACAAAAUUCAGAAACAUCCAACCACGUACCGUAGGUUUAAUCAAAUCUGAAGCAAAAGUAGCCGAAACCAAACCCUCCCAUAACAGCAACAAAAAUUUCUACUAGCAAUGAAUCAACUAAGUCAAGACACCACAUAACAUAACCACCAAUGAGAGCCAACUGGAUUUACACAAACAAACUGUAAUCUAGACACAAAGCAUUGUUGUCUUGUCUCAGAAGUCCUCAUCCUCGUCCCUGAUCUCAGCUUUCUUAUGCGCCCCCCGAUACAUCGCCAUAUAUGUCCUAAUUCUAGCCAAUCAUUCCCUUUUUGCAGCCAAAAAUGCCUCUCUCUGUGCGAGCUGUGGGUUUAAAGAUUGAUAUUAAAGAAUUCAUAUAUGCAAAAAAAAAAACUAAAAUUUUGAAACUUGAAUCAAAAGCAUUGCUAAAGGCCUCAUAAACUUUGUUAAGAUUUUUGGAAAAACUUACGAUGUUCCUAACAGAUCUUUCACGAGAUCUUUUUCUACCAAUUUUGCUCACAUACUGAUACAUAUAGAGAACUAGAACGAGUUCCCGUAUGAAUCGAUGCACAUGAUUCUCCAGCUCGUUAAUUUUAGCCAGGAUAGUAAACAAUGCCUCUCUCCCGGCCACAGUCGGCUGGUUUAGUAAUUUAUAUUAAAGAAUUAAAUAUGCAUGAUGAAACCAAAAUUGUGAAACGUGAAUCAAAAGCAUUGCUAAAGAUUCCAUGAAUUUGUUAACAGAAAUACUUGCCUUAGUUUCUUGAUUACAUAAGUUGCCUUGGUACGCCACAACUAUAAAAACGACAAUUAUUCAAGUUCCGGUCCCGGACCACAUAUCGACUCAUAAGGUAGACUAGUUUGAGUUUGCGUUUGAGUCCAACAAGAGAAGGCUCUUCCUUUGUGCACUCUACUGUUUGCUUCUUAGAAACAUCUAUUAAUAUAUUUAUUGUUUCCAUCAAAUAAGAAAGCACAUAUCAACAGUUGAAUAUUAGGCAAACUUUUUUUUUUUAACUCGGUAUCCAGCCCUAAGACAGACUAAUCCGAAGAGACCAAUCACACCGCCCAAUUGCGAGGCACAUUUAAAGUGAGGUUUUUUUUUUCUUUUCUCUGUAUAGACUAGCCCACCGAAAUUGGCACAAGUGGAAAUCGAACAUGAAACCUUGAGAGGAGCAUACCCCAAGGAACCAAGCCAACACCACUGGAUCAACUCAAGUGGAUUAAUAUUAAGCAAACUUAUUUUCACAUUCAGUUGCCUAGUCUUAAACGAAGGCAAUAAAGUAAGAGAAUCAAGAGAAUUUAAAAAUAUGUAUACAUAGAACAGAUUGAUAAAAUUAAAAAAAAGGGGUGAAUUGAGUUACCCAUUUGGACUUGUGAGAUGAUGAUUGGGGAGAGACUGUUCCUUCCAAUUCCAAUAGGGCGGGCAUGCAAAAGUAAUAUAAAAGAACAAAAUUAGUGUCUAGGGUUUAAUUCCAUCAUAAAAUUUCUCAAUCAAAAUCUUUAACAGCCAAAAAAGCCCCCAAUUUCAAAUAUUUGCAGGAAUCACAUAACAAAAUUCAAAGGCAAUAGAAAUUAUCAAGUAGAAUUGAAAAUACCUUGAGUUGUGCGUGCCUAAAGAGCGAGCGAGAUGAAACCCUCAAACUGAGAAUGAAAAGGUUACAUGUACAUUCUUUUAUAUUCCCU
rnacentral:lncRNA from 1 species